rnacentral:lncRNA from 1 species
GUGAACUGGGGUAUGCCUUAGUCACUAACUGCUGGAUUUCAGCAGUUAUCAAGUUUAACUAUACAGUAUACUUUUGCACAGAAGAGAAUAAUAUUGUAAUUAAUGCAAGGUUCAUUUUUUUUUAAAGGCCCAAUCUAAGAAAAGAGGACUAUAUAUAAAAUCAAUUAUGAGGUAUGUAGUUAAGAAUAUUUGAAACUUUAAUCAGUAUAUUUGUUUUUUGAUGAAGACAGAAAAAUCAUAAUCAAAGGUUUCCAUAGUUUAGGAUUUAAUUAUUCAUUUAAAAGAAGCGUUAUUUUCACUGUGGACUGAUCUAGACAUUUAGAAGACUAAUUAUGCUAUAAGAAAAGCAUAAUG